CUGACAGGAUGUCAUUUCUGAAAUUAAGUUAAAAAAAGAUUGUGGCUUCUGAUCACUCACCUUUUUCACUUCCUAGCUUGCUUGUUCUGAGCGAAGCCAGCUGCCAUGUCAAACAGCCCUAUGGAGAGGCCCACAUGGCAAGGAGAUAAUACCAGCACCCAACAGCCUGUAAGAACCUGAGGUCCUCAGUCCAGCAGCCCUCCAGAAACUCAGUUCUGCCACCGACCUGGCAUGUAGGAUCUUAGGUCCCUGAACAGGGAUGGAACUUGACCCUCCUGCACUGGGAGGUGAAGUCUUAACCACUGGGCUACUGGAGAAGACCUUGGUCAACACUUUGACUGGAGCCUGAAAGAAACCCCGAGCCACCAAGCUGUGCCCAGAUUCCCACGCUACGGGAAUUUUAAGAUGAUAAAUGUUUGUUGAUUCAACCACUGGGCUUUGGAAUAAUUUGUUAUGCAGCAAUAGACACACCCAGAUAUAGAUUUCUAGGAUAUAUUCAACCAUGUGGAAGGCUUCUGCUACAGUGGUGGCUGUUUACAGUUUGGGGAUUCACAGAUAUUAGCUCAUAUGCCUCAAGAAUCUACAGCACCUCCUCCCACUCCUUUGAUUCUGUUUAUAUUUUUAAACAAACAUAAUAUAAAACUGUAGUGACAGUUGCACAUUCUAUUUUUUCUGCUCAACAUGUUGUAAGCAUUUUCUCACCUCAUUAAAUAUUCUUCAAAGCA